ACUGAAGGAAUCAGCAUGUUCUCCCUGGCCUAGAGGCCCGGGCAACCCGCUGAAACUCCUUCGUGCUGGGGAUUGGGGUUUGCAAUUAUCCCCCAUAAAC
rnacentral:rRNA from 9 species